rnacentral:rRNA from 1 species
CGGCCUACCAAGGCGAUGACGGGUAGCCGGCCUGAGAGGGCGACCGGCCACACUGGGACUGAGACACGGCCCAGACUCCUACGGGAGGCAGCAGUGGGGAAUAUUGCGCAAUGGGCGAAAGCCUGACGCAGCGACGCCGCGUGGGGGAUGAAGGCCUUCGGGUUGUAAACCUCUUUCGGCAGGGACGAAGUUGACGUGUACCUGCGGAAGAAGCGCCGGCUAACUACGUGCCAGCAGCCGCGGUAAUACGUAGGGCGCGAGCGUUGUCCGGAAUUAUUGGGCGUAAAGAGCUCGUAGGCGGCUGGUCGCGUCUGCCGUGAAAGCCCGCGGCUUAACCGUGGGUCUGCGGUGGAUACGGGCCGGCUAGAGGCAGGCAGGGGCAAGUGGAAUUCCUGGUGUAGCGGUGAAAUGCGCAGAUAUCAGGAGGAACACCGGUGGCGAAGGCGGCUUGCUGGGCCUGUCCUGACGCUGAGGAGCGAAAGCGUGGGGAGCGAACAGGAUUAGAUACCCUGGUAGUCCACGCCGUAAACGUUGGGCGCUAGGUGUGGGGUCUUUCCACGGGCUCCGUGCCGUAGCUAACGCAUUAAGCGCCCCG